rnacentral:rRNA from 1 species
AUUGAACGCUGGCGGCAUGCCUUACACAUGCAAGUCGAACGGCAGCACGGGAGCAAUCCUGGUGGCGAGUGGCGAACGGGUGAGUAAUAUAUCGGAACGUGCCCGGUCGUGGGGGAUAACGUAGCGAAAGCUACGCUAAUACCGCAUACGAUCUACGGAUGAAAGCGGGGGAUCGCAAGACCUCGCGCGAUUGGAGCGGCCAAUAUCAGAUUAGGUAGUUGGUGAGGUAAAGGCUCACCAAGCCAACGAUCUGUAGCUGGUCUGAGAGGACGACCAGCCACACUGGAACUGAGACACGGACCAGACUCCUACGGGAGGCAGCAGUGGGGAAUUUUGGACAAUGGACGCAAGUCUGAUCCAGCCAUUCCGCGUGCAGGAUGAAGGCCCUCGGGUUGUAAACUGCUUUUGUACGGAACGAAAAGGUUUCUAUUAAUACUAGGAGCUCAUGACGGUACCGUAAGAAUAAGCACCGGCUAACUACGUG